UAAAUAAACAUUAAAAAAAUUAAACAUAGAGGGAACUUGAACAAACUAUUUCUAUAUACUUGUAUAGACUAAGACAAUCCAUAGCAUAGAGGCCAUUCUAGAUGUGACCUUCCGUGACUUCUUCAGAGAACCUCAACUAAAAGCCUAUUGAAAUGGUCUUCAUCACUGAGGUGGGUAGGUAGGGAGUGCAGGGCUCACAAAGGCACCAACCAGGUAAGACCCAGUUGUUAGCACUAAAGGCUAACAGAAUGCAGCUGAAAUCCAUCCAACAUUCAGCUAGUAUUUAUUGAGUCCCUACCAUGAGCCAGGCAUAGGUCCGAGAUACUGCAGCCAAGGAAACAUCAACAUUGCCGGCCCUCAUGAACUUUCCAUUUACAUAUUGCACCAGAAGGCUGGCCCUCAAUAAUUCUGGUACAGGGCUAGAGGCUUUAGGAAGCUAAGCUAACGUCCUACCUGCCUUCCUGGAGACCCACGUGUAAACGCAGGACUGUGUGAUUCACCUGACAUCACCACCAGCUGCACGAAGGCACAAGGCUGAGGGAGGCCAGGUGGCCCACAAGAGAGACAAUCAG